UCUGAAUUCUCUUCCGCUGUUCCUCCGGUCCUUCCUCCACCGCUUCUGUCGGGACGCCUUCAGUUCAGGCAGCUACCCCGGUGGAGAGCUGAACGCGGAGCUUGCGGAGAGGCCUCGCCGGAGACCUCCACCCAAAUGGGGCUCCUGCCGCGAGGUGGGGAGGUCGGCCUCCACGGCGCGGCGGCGCUUGCAUGCCUACCUCGCCGUCGGCCCGGCCCCGAAGACGAGCACGGAUCCCGUAGCGCCGGCGACCUCAGCUCAUGGGGGCUGCGAAUGCGAGUUUGGGAGGUCGGCCUCCACCGCGCGGCAGCGCUUGCUUGCCUCGCUGUCGAUCCGGCCCCGGAGACGAGCACGGCUCCCACGGCGGCGGCGGCCUCGACUCACAUGGGGCCACGGCUGCAGGGAAGGGAGGUCGGCCUCCACCGCUCGUCAGCGUUUGCCUACCUCAGCACCGGCUUGGCCGCAGAGACAAGCGAGGCUCCCGUGGCGACAGCUGCCGGCGAUACGGUGGUCAGCGCGGGGAACAGCAGGGACCGAGCCGCGGCGCUUUAUCCCCUCGGCACCAUAAGCACACCAUCAUGGUGCACCCGUCCGCCGCUGGAGUCGAUGCACGCCCUGUUUCCCGGUGCAAUUUGCCCAUGCGACGCGAGCGAUGGUGGCCCUGGCGCAACUCUUGGGCGCCGAGCAGCCAUCACCUCGAUUGUGGGAGGGCUCUCUGUCCACUGCUGUGGCCUCCCAUCGUGCUGACCGUGUGCUUCCCAGUGCCCCCAACAUGUUUGACGAAAUGCACGCCGCAUAUUGACAAGAUAUUGUGCAUAGAACACCAGCAGAGUGCUACCUGUAUUCACUUGUGACAUGCUUUUGUCAAGGAUGAAAGCAGGGCCCUUCACAGCGGCAAAGCCGGCAACACAUGCUCGAUCUGCACUUGCAGCUUGCUUGCUUCAUAUGUGCCUCUUGUCGACUAUGGGGGCACAGAACACAACCUCAAGGCCUUCGUCCUGCUCCCAGCAUCCAUGAUGAUCAACUUUUCCAACAUCCAGGCACAACGAUACCACUGCACCCAUCACCAUCAUUGGUAUCUCAGAGAAACAACAUUGGUGCUAUUAUGCUUGUACUGUCAGCAUCUCCAAAAUAAUUGUUGGAAGCAAUAGAUAUGAAUACACAAAGGAUAGAGGGUGUUCCUCCACAUAAUCUGAUUGCAAGUACAAAAUAGCGUUUAUGUGAUGGUACCUAUAGCCUUGAGUUUUUUAAUGAUGUUUGAAAAGAGCAGAAGAGCUGAUUGGGAAAGUGCUGAAGUUUUCCACAAACAGUAUGAUCCAACAUUGAUUCCACCUCAAAUAUCAG